AGAGUUUGAUCAUGGCUCAGAUUGAACGCUGGCGGCAGGCCUAACACAUGCAAGUCGAACGGUAACAGGAAGCAGCUUGCUGCUUCGCUGACGAGUGGCGGACGGGUGAGUAAUGUCUGGGAAGCUGCCUGAUGGAGGGGGAUAACUACUGGAAACGGUAGCUAAUACCGCAUAAUGUCGCAAGACCAAAGAGGGGACCUUCGGGCCUCUUGCCAUCGGAUGUGCCCAGAUGGGAUUAGCUUGUUGGUGGGGUAACGGCUCACCAAGGCGACGAUCCCUAGCUGGUCUGAGAGGAUGACCAGCCACACUGGAACUGAGACACGGUCCAGACUCCUACGGGAGGCAGCAGUGGGGAAUAUUGCACAAUGGGCGCAAGCCUGAUGCAGCCAUGCCGCGUGUAUGAAGAAGGCCUUCGGGUUGUAAAGUACUUUCAGCGGGGAGGAAGGGAGUAAAGUUAAUACCUUUGCUCAUUGACGUUACCCGCAGAAGAAGCACCGGCUAACUUCGUGCCAGCAGCCGCGGUAAUACGGAGGGUGCAAGCGUUAAUCGGAAUUACUGGGCGUAAAGCGCACGCAGGCGGUUUGUUAAGUCAGAUGUGAAAUCCCCGGGCUCAACCUGGGAACUGCAUCUGAUACUGGCAAGCUUGAGUCUCGUAGAGGGGGGUAGAAUUCCAGGUGUAGCGGUGAAAUGCGUAGAGAUCUGGAGGAAUACCGGUGGCGAAGGCGGCCCCCUGGACGAAGACUGACGCUCAGGUGCGAAAGCGUGGGGAGCAAACAGGAUUAGAUACCCUGGUAGUCCACGCCGUAAACGAUGUCGACUUGGAGGUUGUGCCCUUGAGGCGUGGCUUCCGGAGCUAACGCGUUAAGUCGACCGCCUGGGGAGUACGGCCGCAAGGUUAAAACUCAAAUGAAUUGACGGGGGCCCGCACAAGCGGUGGAGCAUGUGGUUUAAUUCGAUGCAACGCGAAGAACCUUACCUGGUCUUGACAUCCACGGAAGUUUUCAGAGAUGAGAAUGUGCCUUCGGGAACCGUGAGACAGGUGCUGCAUGGCUGUCGUCAGCUCGUGUUGUGAAAUGUUGGGUUAAGUCCCGCAACGAGCGCAACCCUUAUCCUUUGUUGCCAGCGGUCCGGCCGGGAACUCAAAGGAGACUGCCAGUGAUAAACUGGAGGAAGGUGGGGAUGACGCCAAGUCAUCAUGGCCCUUACGACCAGGGCUACACACGUGCUACAAUGGCGCAUACAAAGAGAAGCGACCUCGCGAGAGCAAGCGGACCUCAUAAAGUGCGUCGUAGUCCGGAUUGGAGUCUGCAACUC
rnacentral:rRNA from 1 species